rnacentral:tRNA from 1 species
GUCGAAGUAGCUUAAUUUAGAGCAAGGCGCUGAAAAUGCUUAGGUAGGUGUUAAACCCCCCUCUUUGACA